CGCACAUUGCGCCCCUCGGUAUUCCGGGGGGCACGCCUGUCCGAGCGUCAUUGCACCCCUCAAGCGUAGCUUGGUGUUGGGCCUCGUCCGGCUGGACGUGCCCGAAAAUCAGUGGCGGUCCCGCGAGGCUUCGGGCGUAGUAAAAUCAUUUCGUCUUGGAAGUCCCCGUGGCGGCCGGCCAGCAACCCCCUAUAUAUCUCUAAAAUUGACCUCGGAUCAGGUGGGGAUACCCGCUGAACUUAA
rnacentral:misc_RNA from 1 species